ensembl:rRNA 5S_rRNA 5S ribosomal RNA
GCUUACGGCCAUACCACCCUGAGAACGCCGGAUCUCGUCUGAUCUCGGAAGCUAAGCAGGGUCGGGCCUGGUUAGUACUUGGAUGGGAGACCGCCUGGGAAUACCAGGUGCUGUAAGCU